UUUCCUGCAUUAUAUUACUCGCUUGCUAAAUUGUUAGCGUCUCUGGCUUCUAGACGCCGACAGUAACGUUAAUAUUACCGUUGCUUAGCAGCGGUGUUCUUAUGACUUAACCACUUGAACACCAAGCAUAUGUGUACACGACUUCUCAUGUUGUAAACAAGAGGUCACGAGUUUCAUUUGAAGGCACCAAAAGUAUCCAACAA